rnacentral:lncRNA from 1 species
UAACUUUAGGGAGUAAUUAAGUAUAAUGGAUUCAAAUAUACUUUCACAUAUUUAAUAAUUGAUUGUUGGUAAUGCAACAUAAAUGUUCCUAGAUUUCGAUGAUGGUUUUCACCGAAGGUUGAUUUAUUGUCCUAACAAUAGUAAUACUACCACAAUUAACCAAGUUAAUUUGAAUGGCAAUGGCUAAAUCAUUGACACCGGCAAUACCAUCUUUUUCUUGAUCAAAUGGGA